rnacentral:rRNA from 1 species
AACGAACGCUGGCGGCAUGCCUAACACAUGCAAGUCGAACGAUUGCCUUCGGGUGAUAGUGGCGCACGGGUGCGUAACGCGUGGGAAUCUGCCCUUAGGUUCGGAAUAACAGCUGGAAACGGCUGCUAAUACCGGAUGAUAUCGCGAGAUCAAAGAUUUAUCGCCUGAGGAUGAGCCCGCGUUGGAUUAGGUAGUUGGUGGGGUAAAGGCCUACCAAGCCGACGAUCCAUAGCUGGUCUGAGAGGAUGAUCAGCCACACUGGGACUGAGACACGGCCCAGACUCCGAGGGGGGGCAGCGGUGGGGAAUAGUGGAAAAGGGGCGCAGGCCUAAUCAAGAAAUGCCGGGGGAGGGAGGAGGCCCUGGGGGUUGAAAAUCUUUUUUCCCGGGGAAGAUAAUGACUGUACGGGGAAAAAAAGCCCCGGCAAACUCCGUG